AUCAUUUUUCGGUGUCGAUACACGUUACGCAUUUGGACGGAGAUCAAGACUUGGAUGGGUUUGACCGGUGUGGACAUCACCGGCUGGAGUAGUUUCAACAACGUCAACGAUUGGUGGCACCACAUGGUAGGCAUCAACGGUAAUGUGAGAAAGGGCCUCGCAUCUCUCGUCAUGUUGGUUUCAUGGGAGAUUUGGAAAAAGCAGAAUGCGGGAGUAUUUAGGAAGGUGUCCUCCAUGCCAAAUGUAAUCACGUCUAGAAUCAAGGCGGAGGUCAGACUUUGGGGGUUGGCAGGGGCCAAACGUCUGAGUUCUCUUAUGCCGCGAGAGUAG
rnacentral:rRNA from 1 species